rnacentral:lncRNA from 12 species
CUAAAAGUACAUGAAACUUUUUUCUUUAAUUUUUACUGGUAUCUAUGGUUUAUGAACAGGCUUGUGUUCUCCAUAUUUUUAUAAUGACAGUCUACUGGGAAUUGUGUCCAGAAGCAGCAGCACAUUAUUGAAUAUUUUCCUUCCCAUCUGUCUUGCCUCCAUCUUCAAUCAAUCAAUCAAUCAAAGAAAGGAAGGAAGGAAGGAAGGAAGGAAGGAAGGAAGGAAGGAAGGAAGGAAAGAAGGAAGGAAGGACAGAAAGGAAAGAAGAAAGAAAAGAAAGAAAGAAGAAAGGACGGAAGGAAGAAAACAUUCCUUAUGUUACUAAAGAAAUGGAGGAUUCUAUUUCCUGAAAUACCUAGAGUAUUUGAAGAAUCUUCAUUGGCACGUGUGACAAUAAACCUUCUGGAAGCCACUGGAGGCAAGCACCUGCUUAUUUCUAAUGUUUGCUUCUCUGCCACCCUGCCUGGAGAAGAGCAUCCUUCCAGAGGAAAACUGGAGGUUUCUGUCAGUCCAGAUGUCAGAAGAGCCUUCCACAGCCCGGUGCCUCCCUCUCCUCUCCCUUUGCCAGCUGCUGGAGAAUGAACAUCUCUGUGGUGCACUAAGCCUGAGAAUUUUCCUACAAGCAGAACAUCAGGACUCUGGUCAUGUUCUAAAUGCUUCCCUCAUAAGAAUAACUGAACCCCUUGAUUGUCAGCCACACCCUUCGUUGUGAAAAACGACGAGAAAAAAUGUACUGCAGGCACCUGACAUGCUUACUUCAGUGGUGGACAGUGCUCUGGCCCAGCAGCUCUAGAAUGAACUUCUACUGCAAGGGUGAAGUCAUGCUCAAAAUUCAAGAUAUCUUCUCUUCUCUCCCCUGAGCUUCCUUUCUUUUUUGUACUUUAAGGCAGAAUCAAGAAACUCUUAAGAUCAGGUUCUUGUUUCUAAAUAUACCCUGAGCUAGGGGGAUAACCACUAUAGUCACAGAUGUACUUAUGUGAUCACUUCCCUUUUUUUUUCCUGAAAAUUAUAGGGCUUCAUGUGAAAAGAACCAAAAUUUCACCAUAAUUUUUGCUGACUUCAAACUUGGUCUGUUUGCAGGAGUGAGAGAAAUUUGGAGUUAGUACCGAGCUCGAUAAGGACAGGUUUGCAAAUCCAUCUAUGUAAUUGCCAUUCCUUCCAGAGGCCCUAGCUAGCCAGGAUUCUGACACAAAGCCUUGUAAUAAAGCUGCAAAAUAUCCACUUGGAAUCUUGGAG